UUUCAUUUCUAGGCCAUAGCCACUCCUCAAGCCCCUGGUGAACACCUCCCUCAGCACCCUGUGGCUCAGCUGGCAGUCCCCUCCCAGCACCCUGUGAUGCCCGUGUACCACUUCCCGACCCAGCUGGGGAUGAUGCAUCAGCUGAAAGAGCAGCUGGAGGAGAGGACUCGCAUACUGCAAGCUGACAUCAAGACUCAGCAAGAAGAACUCCACGUCAUCAAGGAGCAGCUCCAGUUAGUGCAGGACUCCAACCUGCAGGUACUUACUGUCCCAGGGACUCCCAAACUCACCAACCAUUUGCUUUUCCUUUGAGCACACAGAUCAGUAACAUAAUUGUCUGU
rnacentral:lncRNA from 1 species